UAGACACAGAAAUCACAUCUGAGUUUGAGGAUAUAAACAUAUAUUCAGAAUUCCCUACAAAUCUCUAUAGAUCCAAACAAAUUGGAGUUUUCAAUAAAAAUUCAAAAUAUGGUGGAAAAUAUUGAAAAACAUAUAACUGCAAUUACUCCUCUUUGCCAAGAUCCCCGUCUGUCCAUCUUUACUGGUUUGGGUACAAUUAUAGAUUUAUCUAAUAAUAUAGGAAGUAUAAUAAAAUAUAAGAAGCAGACCAGAUGGCCAGAUCGUCAGAUCCUUUUUGAAAUGGACCCUGCCUACCAAAAUAAAGUAAGUUUUUAAAAAGUUCAUCUUAGGGA
rnacentral:lncRNA from 1 species